rnacentral:rRNA from 1 species
UACGGAGGGUGCAAACGUUGCGCGGAAUCAUUGGGCGUAAAGCGCACGUAGGCGGCUUGUUAAGUCGGAUGUGAAAGCCCUCGGCUCAACCGAGGAAGUGCAUACGAAACUGGCGAGCUUGAAUAUGGAAGAGGGUCGCGGAAUUCCCGGUGUAGAGGUGAAAUUCGUAGAUAUCGGGAGGAACACCAGUGGCGAAGGCGGCGACCUGGGCCAAUAUUGACGCUGAGGUGCGAAAGCGUGGGGAGCAAACAGG